rnacentral:rRNA from 1 species
UGGGGAAUAUUGGACAAUGGGCGCAAGCCUGAUCCAGCCAUGCCGCGUGUGUGAAGAAGGCCUUUUGGUUGUAAAGCACUUUAAGCGAGGAGGAGGCUACUUGGAUUAAUACUCGAGGAUAGUGGACGUUACUCGCAGAAUAAGCACCGGCUAACUCUGUGCCAGCAGCCGCGGUAAUACAGAGGGUGCGAGCGUUAAUCGGAUUUACUGGGCGUAAAGCGUGCGUAGGCGGCUUUUUAAGUCGGAUGUGAAAUCCCUGAGCUUAACUUAGGAAUUGCAUUCGAUACUGGGAAGCUAGAGUAUGGGAGAGGAUGGUAGAAUUCCAGGUGUAGCGGUGAAAUGCGUAGAGAUCUGGAGGAAUACCGAUGGCGAAGGCAGCCAUCUGGCCUAAUACUGACGCUGAGGUACGAAAGCAUGGGGAGCAAACAGG